GUAUUUACCUUGAUCCAGAUGUGAAUGUUUAAACUGGAUAAAUGACAACUCCCUAUGAUUUCGAGAAGAUUUGAGAAAUAUAAUUUCUUUUGAUAGCUAAUUAAUUGUUGUACUCCCAAAAAGGAACUUGUAUAGGCUACUUUAGAUUGUUAGAUCAAUCUCUUUUGUUCGUUAGAGGCAAGCUGGUUCAUGUCCCCCUUUAAUCUUUUGUAAGUAUUUCUACUUAAUUAUGUUUUACAUGGUAAGGGUCUAGCCAAACCCCCCACAAUCCUAGACUCACA
rnacentral:misc_RNA from 1 species